GAGGGCAUAGCUCAGCAGUAGAGUGCAUGCUUGGCAUGCAGGAGGCCCUAGGUCCAAUCCCCAGUACCUCCA
rnacentral:tRNA from 1 species